CCUACGGGUGGCUGCAGUGGGGGAUAUUGCACAAUGGGGGAAACCCUGAUGCAGCGACGCCGCGUGUGGGAAGACGGUCUUCUGGAUUGUAAACCACUGUCCCCAGGGACGAAAAUGACGGUACCUGGGGAGGAAGCUCCGGCUAACUACGUGCCAGCAGCCGCGGUAAUACGUAGGGAGCAAGCGUUGUCCGGAAUUACUGGGUGUAAAGGGAGGGUAGGCGGGGAUGCAAGUUGGGUGUCAAAACUACCGGCUCAACCGAUAGUCGCACUCAAAACUGCAGCUCUUGAGUGAAGUAGAGGCAGGCGGAAUUCCUAGUGUAGCGGUGAAAUGCGUAGAUAUUAGGAGGAACACCAGUGGCGAAGGCGGCCUGCUGGGCUUUUACUGACGCUGAGGCUCGAAAGUGUGGGGAGCAAACAGGAUUAGAUACCCUUGUAGUC
rnacentral:rRNA from 1 species